rnacentral:rRNA from 1 species
GGAUUAGAUACCCUGGUAGUCCACGCCCUAAACGAUGCGAACUGGAUGUUGGGUGCAAUUUGGCACGCAGUAUCGAAGCUAACGCGUUAAGUUCGCCGCCUGGGGAGUACGGUCGCAAGACUGAAACUCAAAGGAAUUGACGGGGGCCCGCACAAGCGGUGGAGUAUGUGGUUUAAUUCGAUGCAACGCGAAGAACCUUACCUGGCCUUGACAUGUCGAGAACUUUCCAGAGAUGGAUUGGUGCCUUCGGGAACUCGAGCACAGGUGCUGCAUGGCUGUCGUCAGCUCGUGCCG